rnacentral:rRNA from 1 species
AUGGUGACCAACUUCCCCUUCAUCAUUCAGGCUGACUUCCUCCUUGCAUCUUCAAGAGAGGCGAUAUUGUUCGAUAGUCCAUGGAACAAGGGAAUUCUGGAGUGUAUCCCAAGUGCAUUCAUGAAUGCCUUUGUAGCACUUGUCAAGUCCAGAACAGAUGCACCAGCAAUGACUAUUCCAUCGAUGUUCCAUUACCUGCCAGUCAGUCCUUCGAUGAUCCCUUUACUUGAGCCUGUUAGGUCUGGCAUCAAAGACAAGGUUCUCGUCGAGGAUAUAGUUCCAUGUGAGUCUCACACUCCACAGAAGAUGUUUUGCAAGCCUUGUGAGGUUGCGUGGCUCAAACCAGCAUUUUGGGAUAUCCUUGUCAAGGCGAGAGAGUCUGGAGUGGACCUUAAGAACCUGUCAACCCAUGGAACCUACAUUCUCAGCUCUCAUUUCGACAAGAGUGCAUACAACAGUGUUCUUACAUUUCUGGAUGUCAAAAGCGUGAGCCAUGAAUGA